GGUCCUGUUGUAUAGUGGUUCAUUACGCUGCCUUUACACGGCAGAGGUCGCGAGUUCGAUCCUCGCCGGGAUCA